GCCUGGGUGGUGAAAUUGGUAUACACGCCAGUCUUAGGAACUGGUAGGUUUAUCCUGUGGAGGUUCAAGUCCUCUCCCAGGCA
rnacentral:tRNA from 1 species